GUCGUGGCUCAGUGGUUAGAGCGCUUGCCUAGCACGUGUGAGGCACUGGGUUUGAUCCCCAGUACCACA
rnacentral:tRNA from 1 species